GAUGAAGAACGUAGCGAAAUGCGGUAAGUAGUGUGAAUUGCAGAAUUCAGUGAAUCAUCGAAUCUUUGAACGCACAUUGCGCCCCUUGGUAUUCCAUGGGGCAUGCCUGUUCGAGCGUCAUUUGUACCUUCAAGCUCUGCUUGGUGUUGGGUGUUUGUCCUUGCUCUAGUGGCGGGACUCGCCUUAAAGUAAUUGGCAGCCAGUGUUUUGGUUUUGAAGCGCAGCACAAGUCGCGAUUCAAGUCUAUACGCUAGUUUCCACAAGUCUUUUAUCACUUUUGACCUCGGAUCAGGUAGGGAUACCCGCUGAACUUAAGCAUAUCAAUAAGCGGAGGA
rnacentral:misc_RNA from 1 species